CCUACGGGAGGCAGCAGUGAGGAAUAUUGGUCAAUGGACGAGAGUCUGAUCCAGCCAAGUAGCGUGAAGGAUGACUGCCCUAUGGGUUGUAAACUUCUUUUAUAUGGGAAUAAAAUGUUACACGUGUGGGCUUUUGUAUGUACCAUAUGAAUAAGGAUCGGCUAACUCCGUGCCAGCAGCCGCGGUAAUACGGAGGAUCCGAGCGUUAUGCGGAUUUACUGGGUUUAAAGGGAGCGUCGGUGGAUGGUUAAGUCAGUUGUGAAAGUUUGCGGCUUAACCUGAGAAUUGCAGUUGAAACUGGCAGUCUUGAGUACAGUAGAGGUGGGCGGAAUUCGUGGUGUAGCGGUGAAAUGCUUAGAUAUCACGAAGAACUCCGAUUGCGAAGGCAGCCCACUGGACUGAGACUGACACUGAGGCUCGAAAGUGUGGGUAUCAAACAGGAUUAGAUACCCCUGUAGUC
rnacentral:rRNA from 1 species